rnacentral:rRNA from 1 species
UGACCUCGAAUCAGGUAGACUACCCGCUGACUUAAGCAUAUCAAUAAGCGGA